GAGGAGCUCGCGUCUGAUUAGCUAGUUGGUAAGGUAAGAGCUUACCAAGGCGACGAUCAGUAGCUGGUCUGAGAGGAUGAGCAGCCACACUGGGACUGAGACACGGCCCAGACUCCUACGGGAGGCAGCAGUGGGGAAUUUUCCGCAAUGGGCGAAAGCCUGACGGAGCAAUACCGCGUGAGGGAGGAAGGUUCAAGUAAUUGUAAACCUCUUUUAUCAGGGAAGAAAAAAAUGACGGUACCUGAUGAAAAAGCAUCGGCUAACUCCGUGCCAGCAGCCGCGGUAAUACGGAGGAUGCAAGCGUUAUCCGGAAUUAUUGGGCGUAAAGCGUCCGCAGGUGGUAGUACAAGUCUGCUGUCAAAGACCAGAGCUUAACUCUGGGCAGGCGGUGGAAACUGUAAUACUAGAGACCGGUAGGGGUAGAGGGAAUUCCCAGUGUAGCGGUGAAAUGCGUAGA
rnacentral:rRNA from 1 species